GCGCCGUAACGCGGCGCUCAUGAGAAUAUCCCUCUUGACGCAAUAGGAACUCGUCCUUUCCGUCGACCUACCGUGAGUGAAACAUGUCGCAUACGUCUGAGCGAAGAAACGAUGAUCAAUGGAUAGGGGAUUCCAAAAAUGGACCUAGUGAAAGUGAUCAGCAAACGUACGAUGGUCCCCCAGGCAUGGAGCCUGAUGGGGUCAUCGAAUCCAAUUGGGAAGUUGUCGUCGACAACUUCGAUGAAAUGGAGUUAAAAGAAGAACUACUUCGUGGUAUUUAUGCUUAUGGCUUUGAAAAACCAUCUGCGAUUCAGCAACGUGCCAUUCUGCCGUGUAUAAAAGGACACGACGUUAUUGCACAGGCACAAUCAGGUACUGGCAAAACUGCUACGUUUUCAAUCUCUAUUUUACAACAAAUCGACACCAGUAUCAGAGAGUGUCAAGCUUUGAUUCUAGCACCAACUAGGGAGCUGGCUCAGCAAAUUCAAAAGGUCGUGAUCGCUUUGGGAGAUUUCAUGCACGCGGAAUGCCACGCGUGCAUCGGAGGCACCAACGUGCGCGAAGACAUGCGAAAAUUGGAUCAAGGUGCUCAUAUAGUGGUCGGUACUCCUGGUAGAGUAUACGACAUGAUCAGUCGACGGGCGUUGCGGGCAAACAACAUCAAAUUGUUCGUAUUGGACGAAGCCGACGAGAUGCUCUCGCGCGGUUUCAAAGAACAGAUCCACGAUGUAUUCAAAUUAUUACCUAACGAAGUGCAGGUCAUAUUGCUGUCGGCCACGAUGCCGACUGACGUGCUGGAGGUGUCCACGUGCUUUAUGCGUAAUCCGAUUCGUAUCCUCGUUAAAAAGGAGGAACUCACGCUGGAGGGUAUCAAGCAGUUCUAUAUUUUCGUUGAACGAGAGGAAUGGAAAUUCGAUACGUUGUGCGACUUGUACGAUACGCUGAGUAUUACCCAAGCUGUUAUCUUCUGCAACACGCGGCGCAAGGUAGAUUGGUUAACGGACAACAUGCGCACCCGUGACUUCACAGUCUCCGCUAUGCACGGAGACAUGGAGCAGAAGGAGCGCGACCUUAUCAUGAGGCAGUUCAGAACCGGAUCGUCACGUGUCCUGAUUACGACGGACCUUUUAGCACGUGGUAUCGAUGUUCAACAAGUUUCACUUGUCAUCAAUUAUGAUUUACCUUCCAACCGUGAGAACUACAUUCACAGAAUCGGUCGAGGUGGCCGUUUCGGUCGUAAGGGAGUGGCAAUUAACUUCGUAACGGACGAAGACAAACGGACCCUGCACGAUAUUGAAACAUUCUAUAAUACUAGCAUCGAUGAAAUGCCACUGAACGUCGCAGAUUUGAUCUAAAUCUGACUAUUGGCUAUAAUUCAUUAUAAUUAAACAAAAAAAUAAUAAAAGCAAUUUUGAGCAGUCCAGAAAUGAGGCAGAUAUUUUCGGAAAUAAAGACCAAAUUUCGUGAUUCAAUAUAUAGAAGUUUUGUAAUUCCUAUCUAAUUUUCCUGCCCUUUGCAGGCUUAUUAAACGAUAUGUAAAUGUCGAAUUAUUGUACGUUUGCUUUCUUUAUGGUUUUUUUUUUUUCCACUUUUUUUAAGUGGUCAUAGAAGCCGACUCUUUUACACGAUCAUUUUAUAUUCUUAUCAAUAAAACGAACUUUUGAAAAUACUUUUCGCUGCAUCAGUUGUGUACUUGUGUGAUUUGUUUGGGAAUAAAGCACUCGUUGUGAGGACUUUUAUAUAUACACAUGCUCGUAAAACAAGAGAAUACAGUAGUUUCCUGUAUACAUCGUUGAUUAAUAGUUUUCGUAAGUUGGAGUAAUUUCUUCUGUUUGAUUGUAUCGUAGGAACGAUCGUCGAAUUGCUCGAAUUUCCGAAAACUGUCUUACGAAUUCUGUAAAUAAUACGAGGGAUUUCUUUUGAACGAGGAGGGACCGUAGCGAAUUUUAUUGUAUUUAUAUAACGAUUAUACAAAUAAUAAUAUUUAUGAUUGCGAAUACGGAUUCUUUUGAUAGUUGACGGAAUAAAUGUGGAUGUAGUUCAUAUACAGAAGAUACGACGUAUUAUUAUUUUUAAUUCUCUGUAUUAGAAUCGGCCGGGUUUAUUUUAUGUUAAGCCAAACAUAAUCAACGGUCCUCUCUGUAUCUCUCGAUGUAACCACGAUGGACUGCCUAUUCUAAUUAACUAGACAAAUCGCCUUUUAUUUAUUGCUCGCUAAAAGUUUGUACAAUCAUGAUAGAAAUAUACAUCUUUACGAUCGAUCUUUGAUUAUGCUGUGGCUCCGAUCAUAGACCGUUUGUUUAUUUCAAGAUACACGAACUGAUCUACGUAGCAAAAUAUUCGUAUGGAAAUCUGUACCGUUACACUGUUACUAACAAAAGAUAUUUGUAAACAUUUAUUGUAUUCAAAGAUACAAGUAGAAAACGGCGAAGUGUUCGAUACGUAUGUUUAAAAUUAAAUGUAGCUGUAAAUAUUUUCUACCA